CAGCCGCCACGGUAAUACGUAGGUCCCGAGCGUUGUCCGGAUUUAUUGGGCGUAAAGCGAGCGCAGGCGGUUAGAUAAGUCUGAAGUUAAAGGCUGUGGCUUAACCAUAGUACGCUUUGGAAACUGUUUAACUUGAGUGCAGAAGGGGAGAGUGGAAUUCCAUGUGUAGCGGUGAAAUGCGUAGAUAUAUGGAGGAACACCGGUGGCGAAAGCGGCUCUCUGGUCUGUAACUGACGCUGAGGCUCGAAAGCGUGGGGAGCGAACAGGAUUAGAUACCCCUGUAGUCCCUGUCUCUUAUACA
rnacentral:rRNA from 1 species